rnacentral:pre_miRNA from 1 species
UUUCGUGUCCCCGUUCGUCGGACAGUAUUGGUUGAGAAUACAAUUCUCAACCAAAACUGUCCGACGAACGGGAACGUGAAACUCU